CAGGGAGGAGAUGAGCAAGUGACGGUCCAGGGUUCAUGGCUGUGUGUGGUCUUGGAGCUCCCUUCUGCACUUUCCAGCUGUCCAUGUCCCCAUGCAGAUGAGAACCCUUUCCUCAAUGACACCUCAUAACCAGGUAUUUCCUAGUGCCCUUAAAGCCUCGUGCCUGGCAGUGGUGUCAGGGAGUCCUGGGGUUGGGUAUGUGGUAAUCUGGGUGCUGUCAGUCAGAAUGUCCCCUUCCCCAGGCUCCCAGGCCUAGUUUCUUAAAGAGUAUGACGUUGCCAUUUCUGGACCCAACUUCCUGGUUUAAACAGCCCUGCUGUGCCAGGAAAACAACCUCACA
rnacentral:lncRNA from 1 species